rnacentral:rRNA from 1 species
CACUAUCGUUAACUGAAUACAUAGGUUAACGAGGCGAACCGGGGGAACUGAAACAUCUAAGUACCCCGAGGAAAAGAAAUCAACCGAGAUUCCCCCAGUAGCGGCGAGCGAACGGGGAGCAGCCCAGAGUCUGAAUCAGCUUGUGUGUUAGUGGAACGGUCUGGAAAGUCCGACGGUACAGGGUGAUAGUCCCGUACACCAAAAUGCACAGGCUGUGAACUCGAAGAGUAGGGCGGGACACGUGGUAUCCUGUCUGAAUAUGGGGGGACCAUCCUCCAAGGCUAAAUACUCCUGACUGACCGAUAGUGAACCAGUACCGUGAGGGAAAGGCGAAAAGAACCCCGGCGAGGGGAGUGAAAAAGAACCUGAAACCGUGUACGUACAAGCAGUGGGAGCACCUUCGGGUGUGACUGCGUACCUUUUGUAUAAUGGGUCAGCGACUUAUAUUCUGUAGCAAGGUUAACCGUAUAGGGGAGCCGCAGGGAAACCGAGUCUUAACUGGGCGUUAAGUUGCAGGGUAUAGACCCGAAACCCGGUGAUCUAGCCAUGGGCAGGUUGAAGGUUGGGUAACACUAACUGGAGGACCGAACCGACUAAUGUUGAAAAAUUAGCGGAUGACUUGUGGCUGGGGGUGAAAGGCCAAUCAAACCGGGAGAUAGCUGGUUCUCCCCGAAAGCUAUUUAGGUAGCGCCUCGUGAAUUCAUCUUCGGGGGUAGAGCACUGUUUCGGCUAGGGGGUCAUCCCGACUUACCAACCCGAUGCAAACUACGAAUACCGAAGAAUGUUAUCACGGGAGACACACGGCGGGUGCUAACGUCCGUCGUGAAGAGGGAAACAACCCAGACCGCCAGCUAAGGUCCCAAAGUCAUGGUUAAGUGGGAAACGAUGUGGGAAGGCACAGACAGCCAGGAUGUUGGCUUAGAAGCAGCCAUCAUUUAAAGAAAGCGUAAUAGCUCACUGGUCGAGUCGGCCUGCGCGGAAGAUGUAACGGGGCUAAACCAUGCACCGAAGCUGCGGCAGCGACACUAUGUGUUGUUGGGUAGGGGAGCGUUCUGUAAGCCUGCGAAGGUGACCUGUGAGGGUUGCUGGAGGUAUCAGAAGUGCGAAUGCUGACAUAAGUAACGAUAAAGCGGGUGAAAAGCCCGCUCGCCGGAAGACCAAGGGUUCCUGUCCAACGUUAAUCGGGGCAGGGUGAGUCGACCCCUAAGGCGAGGCCGAAAGGCGUAGUCGAUGGGAAACAGGUUAAUAUUCCUGUACUUGGUGUUACUGCGAAGGGGGGACGGAGAAGGCUAUGUUAGCCGGGCGACGGUUGUCCCGGUUUAAGCAUGUAGGCUGGUUGUCCAGGCAAAUCCGGAUAAUCAAGGCUGAGGUGUGAUGACGAGGCACUACGGUGCUGAAGUAACAAAUGCCCUGCUUCCAGGAAAAGCCUCUAAGCAUCAGGUAACAUCAAAUCGUACCCCAAACCGACACAGGUGGUCAGGUAGAGAAUACCAAGGCGCUUGAGAGAACUCGGGUGAAGGAACUAGGCAAAAUGGUGCCGUAACUUCGGGAGAAGGCACGCUGGUGUGUAGGUGAAGUCCCUGCGGAUGGAGCUGAGACCAGUCGAAGAUACCAGCUGGCUGCAACUGUUUAUUAAAAACACAGCACUGUGCAAACACGAAAGUGGACGUAUACGGUGUGACGCCUGCCCGGUGCCGGAAGGUUAAUUGAUGGGGUUAUCCGUAAGGAGAAGCUCUUGAUCGAAGCCCCGGUAAACGGCGGCCGUAACUAUAACGGUCCUAAGGUAGCGAAAUUCCUUGUCGGGUAAGUUCCGACCUGCACGAAUGGCGUAAUGAUGGCCAGGCUGUCUCCACCCGAGACUCAGUGAAAUUGAACUCGCUGUGAAGAUGCAGUGUACCCGCGGCAAGACGGAAAGACCCCGUGAACCUUUACUAUAGCUUGACACUGAACAUUGAGCCUUGAUGUGUAGGAUAGGUGGGAGGCUUUGAAGCGUGGACGCCAGUCUGCGUGGAGCCAACCUUGAAAUACCACCCUUUAAUGUUUGAUGUUCUAACGUUGGCCCCUUAUCGGGGUUGCGGACAGUGUCUGGUGGGUAGUUUGACUGGGGCGGUCUCCUCCCAAAGCGUAACGGAGGAGCACGAAGGUUAGCUAAUCCUGGUCGGACAUCAGGAGGUUAGUGCAAUGGCAUAAGCUAGCUUGACUGCGAGCGUGACGGCGCGAGCAGGUGCGAAAGCAGGUCAUAGUGAUCCGGUGGUUCUGAAUGGAAGGGCCAUCGCUCAACGGAUAAAAGGUACUCCGGGGAUAACAGGCUGAUACCGCCCAAGAGUUCAUAUCGACGGCGGUGUUUGGCACCUCGAUGUCGGCUCAUCACAUCCUGGGGCUGAAGUAGGUCCCAAGGGUAUGGCUGUUCGCCAUUUAAAGUGGUACGCGAGCUGGGUUUAGAACGUCGUGAGACAGUUCGGUCCCUAUCUGCCGUGGGCGCUGGAGAAUUGAGGGGGGCUGCUCCUAGUACGAGAGGACCGGAGUGGACGCAUCACUGGUGUUCGGGUUGUCAUGCCAAUGGCACUGCCCGGUAGCUAAAUGCGGAAGAGAUAAGUGCUGAAAGCAUCUAAGCACGAAACUUGCCCCGAGAUGAGUUCUCCCUGAGACUUUAAGUCUCCUGAAGGAACGUUGAAGACGACGACGUUGAUAGGCCGGGUGUGUAAGCGCAGCGAUGCGUUGAGCUAACCGGUACUAAUGAACCGUGAGGCUUAACCUU